GACGAACGCUGGCGGCGUGCUUAACACAUGCAAGUCGAACGGAAAGGCCCUGCUUUUGUUGGGUGCUCGAUUGGCGAACGGGUGAGUAACACGUGAGUAACCUGCCCUUGACUUCCGGAUAACUUCAGGAAACUGCGGCUCAUACCGGAUAGGAGCUCCUGCUGCAUGGUGGUGGUUGGAAAGUUUCGGCGGUUGUGGAUGGACUCGCGGCUUAUCAGCUUGUUGGUGGGGUAGGUGCUUACCAAGGGUUUGACGGGUAGCCGGCCUGAGAGGGUGAACGGCCACAUUGGGACUGAGAUACGGACCAGAAUCCUACGGGAGGCAGCAGUGGGGAAUAUUGCAGAAUGGGCGGAAGCCUGAUGCAGAAACGCCGCGUGCGGGAUGACGGCCUUCGGGUUGUAAACCGCUUUCGCCUGUGACGAAGAGUGAGUGACGGUAAUGGGUAAAGAAGCCCCGGCUAACUACGUG
rnacentral:rRNA from 1 species